GGAGCGUGUGGGGGGCUUUUGGGAUAACAUUGGAAAUGUAAAUGAAAUAAAUACCCAAUAAAAAAAAAGAAAAAAAAACAGCAGCAGCUUUGGCUGGGAUAGCUGUUACAGCAUUUCUAAGUGCAGUUUUCAGACACCAGCACCUGCAAAGGUUCAUCCUGACUUUAUUUGCUAUUCAUUUGGUUAUAGAAUAUGUUGAAGGAAAAAAAUUAGUCAUUAGUAUAGAAAAGUAUAUAAAUCAUUGCCUAAAAAGGCCAGGAGCUUUUAGGAGUAGAUGGGCUUCCUAGAACCACAGAAGAACGAAUGGCUUCUUUAACCUAGUGCGUGUUGCCAUUUGAAUAGGGCAUUUUCCUGAGUGGAUUUGUGUCCUUUUCCUGAGUAGGGCUGUUUUCUUGUGUCUCUGGGUCCUCCUCCCCACUUACCUCUGGACUGCAAGCGUUUCUUCCAACAUGGAGCCAGCAGGUAGUCCUCUUUCCUCCUUGCUAUCUCAUGAACCCUGCUGUGGAUGUGCCUACUUUAGUAGCUGGCUUCUGGGGUCAGGUGAUUCUGAGCAACAGUCUCUGCCAUACAGCAUAAUUGCAUCUCUUGGGGAGGAGUUAACAGACAGAGUUAGCAGAGCAGGUUGGUUGCUCCUGGGCUUCAGCUUCCACGGAGUGUAUGUGCAGCCCUCUUCCAAGCUCCAUGCAGAAGACACUCAUUAGUAAAUCUUCCACAACAAUUCUUUUUUGUGAGUGAACCGAGAGUGUGAGGCUCUCCUCGGGCACUCUGAGGCUCACUUGACAGCCUUGCUGAAACUGGUCAACACUCGGUUUCCCCUCAAAUCAUUACUCAGUCACCCGAGAUGCUCACAAAAGUCUCCAUGCUGGAUAAUUUCUAGAAAGUUGGUGCUAGGGAGUCAGCCGACCGCUAGGCAGGCUUGAUUAUAGUAGGUCUCUUUUCUUACCUUUGCAUUUGGGGGAUUGACAUAUGAUUUUCUAAGCUGUAUAUUUCCCUUUGAACUCAAACAAGACCUUUAUAAUCUCCGAGAAAAUGUGAUCAUAUCUUUCAAGGGUGAUUUUUAAGUUUUUUCUGUAACUACAGAUACUUUAAAAUUAAGUAAACAUCAGUAAGCCUAAAUAUAUAGGUAAAGCUUACCUUAGGGAACUAUCCUGUUUCUAUUUAACUUGAUCCCACUUCCAUUGUCAGAAAAUGGAAGUGUACACGUGUUCAGGGUGACUGGUGACUGGUUACUCAUUCCUGAAGAAAACUGAUGACCCUGUUCUCAGCGGGCAUUGUUGCUCUUCAUCUAGGAGCAGGCCGUGUGACAUUUCCAGCACAGGCAUAUUAAUUGGUGUUGUCAUUGUGCAGGUGUUAUCUAGGCAACCAUAUUGUUGAAAUUUUAUGGGUACAACUUUCCUUGUUAUAUCAAAUAUAUACUAUCAAACAACAGGCACCCAUGUCCUCUUACAAUAUUCCUGAUCACUUUUAUGCAGUGUUCCCUCAACCUAGGUGUAUAGGGAUUCUAUUGCGCAUAUACCAGUAGGCUGUGUGUGUGUGUGUGUGCAUGUAUGUACAUAUAUGUAUACAGUAAUAAUAAUUUCAAAAAAGAGGUCAUAAGUUUGAGAGGGAGCUGGAGCAUAAGAGGAGAUGGAGAGAGAGGGGUUGAAACGGUAUAAAUACAGUACUUCUUGUACAAAUGUCUCAAAAAAUUAAUGACUUACAUUUUUAACAAAAUGACAGUUGAGAGGUAUAGAAAAAAACAUUUUAAAGAAAGUUUAGGCCAUCCACCUGUUUAUCCAUUUAGCCAGAGCAGAAACCCAUAGCAAAAACCCUAUUGGGUUUUUGGUGGAUGUAGUGUGAAGAUGGGUCAUUUCUUUAAAAAAAAAAAGAAAGAAAGAAAAGAAAAGAAAGAAAGAAAGAAGGAAAGAAGG
rnacentral:lncRNA from 1 species